UACAGAGGGUGCAAGCGUUAAUCGGAAUUACUGGGCGUAAAGCGUGCGUAGACGGUUAUCUAAGUCGGGUGUGAAAUCCCCGGGCUCAACCUGGGAAUUGCAUUCGAUACUGGAUAGCUAGAGUUCGGCAGAGGGAAGUGGAAUUUCCGGUGUAGCGGUGAAAUGCGUAGAUAUCGGAAGGAACACCAGUGGCGAAGGCGACUCUCUGGUCUGUAACUGACGCUGAGGAGCGAAAGCGUGGGGAGCAAACAGG
rnacentral:rRNA from 1 species